CUCUGUGACUCCUACGGGAGGCAGCAGUGGGGAAUAUUGCACAAUGGGGCGCAAGCCUGAUGCAGCAACGCCGCGUGAGCGAUGAAGGCCUUCGGGUCGUAAAGCUCUGUCCUCAAGGAAGAAUAAAUGACGGUACUUGAGGAGGAAGCCCCGGCUAACUACGUGCCAGCAGCCGCGGUAAUACGUAGGGGGCAAGCGUUAUCCGGAAUCACUGGGCGUAAAGGGUGCGUAGGCGGUUUUUCAAGUCAGAAGUGAAAGGCUAUGGCUCAACCAUAGUAAGCUUUUGAAACUGUUAAACUUGAGUGCAGGAGAGGAAAGUGGAAUUCCUAGUGUAGAGGUGAAAUUCGUAGAUAUUAGGAGGAACACCAGUGGCGAAGGCGACUUUCUGGACUGUAACUGACGCUGAGGCACGAAAGCGUGGGGAGCGAACAGGAUUAGAUACCCUGGUAG
rnacentral:rRNA from 1 species